GCGUCCUCUUCAAACCCCUCUCUCUCUCUCUCUCUCUCUGGGGCGAGGGAUGGCUUGGUGGGAUCGGGUAACAUCGCCGAUGAGGAGGGUCUGGGCAGGCGUCGCCAUCCGCCUCGGGAUCAGCAAAUCCGGGCUGACGCGGCUGAGGGAGGAGGUGAGUACGUGCGAGUACGAGGACGUGCACGUCUUGUGGGAGUUGCUGACGGAGUCGGGGGGGCGGGGCGGACCGCUCCGGGUGGCAGCACCGAGGCGGACGCGCCGGCGGGACGGGUCGCACGUGUGGGAGUGGGCCGGCCUCUGCUUCUGCCGCAGGUUCUAAGGGCGUCGCACGCGUGGCGACCUUCUCGGUGGCUGUUGUAAAUAGCAAAUGUUAGGGCUUGCUGAGCCAAAGACCACUCUCCAUAUAAAUGGCCGGCCUCAAGAUACGUGUUAUGUGCAUUGGUAAGGUAUCAUGAUGCUGAUAUUAGCUCAUAUCAGUUGCCAAUCAAUCA